AAGUCGUAACAAGGUAACCGUAGGUGAACCUGCGGUUGGAUCAUUAACAAAAUCCAAUUACAAGUUUGUGGGAAGGGGUGUCAAAGCUCUGGUACCGCAUUCUUGUUUUUAACACAAUGUGAACCGUUAUUGUCUCUGGUGUGGUUAAGAGUCUUUUUUUGUUUUUUGCAAAGAAAGAUAGCUCUUCCCUGCUUUUCAGCAAUGAAAUUCUGGGGGUAUCAUGGGGGCUACCCACCGUUAUAUUUUUUAAACUUUUUUAUUUUAAUUGGUCUUUAUAACAUAAAGUUUUAGUGCUUUAAAUUCUUAAUUUAAAAAACAACUUUUGGCAACGGAUCUCUAGGCUCUU
rnacentral:misc_RNA from 1 species